rnacentral:sRNA from 1 species
GCCGGUGUGGUGGUGCACGCCUGUAAUCCCAGCAGCUUGGGAGGCUGAGGCAGGAGGAUCACAAGUUCAAAGUCAACCUUAGUAAAACCGAGGCUCUGAGCAACUCAGUGAGACCCUGUCUCUA